rnacentral:lncRNA from 1 species
UGGAGGUUCCCAGGCUAGGGGUCUAAUUGGAGCUGUAGCUGCCAGCCCACGCCAGAGCCACAGAAACACAGGAUCUGAGCCGCCUCUGCGACCUACACUACAGCUCACAGCAAUGCCGGAUCCUUAACCCACUGAGUAAGGUCAGGGAUCGAACCCGCAACCUCAUGGUUCCUAGUUGGAUUCAUCAACCACUGAGCCACGAUGGGAACUCCCUUGGUUUGUGGCUUUGGUAGGAAAGGGAAACCCCAGAGACUGCCUUCUAGCCCUCCACAGCCAUCACAGCACUAACCCCAUGUGCUGUGGAGUCCAAGUGUGGAUUCUGUCAGUCACAGCAUACAUCUAUUCCAGUCAUGUACUCAGCAGCUGAGACAACAACUUUAGACUUUUACAGAGCUGUUGGUCCCCUUGUGAGAUGAAUCGAAGCCAGGUUUCUUUUGUUGGUUGGUUGGUUUGCUUGCUUGCUUUUUAGGGCCGCACCCAUGGCAUAUGGAAGUUCUCAGGCUUGGGGUCAAAUUGGAGCUGCAGCUACAGGCCUACGCCACAGCCACAGCAACACCAUAUCCAAGCCACGUCUGCAACCUACACCGCAGCACGUGGCAACGCUGGAUUCUUAACCCACUGAGCAAGGCCAGGGAUGGAUUCUAGACGGGUUCAUUACCGCCGAGACACAGUGGGAACUUCUGAAGCCAGGUUUCCAUUUAUUCCCCUCUGGUGGGUCACAGUGGCAACCAGAAACCCCAAGAAUUAGCACCGUUUCAGAGCCAGUGUCCAGUCAUCCUCAGAAGUUCUGGGAAGUUCCCUCUCCCUGUGCAGGUACCUAGUAAACAGUUGCAGAUCCCAAGCAGGAAAUGUAGAGGAGAUACUUGCAGUAUCUUUGAGGAGACCUUACUCAGGGGAUGUCUGGCUCUCUGUUCAAGGAGGUUUGGGUCAGGGAACUGACUCACAUCUGGGGCUGAAUGAGACACUAGAUCUCUUCUUCAUGGCAAAGCAAGUCAGACCCCUAUUCACCAGGCCUAGAUUUCGUUCUGUUUUACAUGUACUAGCUUACUAGGGCCAUCUUAACUAAAUGCUUCAGAUUGCCAAACAACAGAAACUCAUUUUCUCACACUUCUGGAGGUUGGAAGUUUGAGAUCAAGGCACCGUAGGGUUGGUUCUUCUGAGGCCUCUUCCCUUGGCACAUAGGUGGCCUUUUUCUCCCUGUGGCUUCACGUGGUUCUCCUUCUCUACAUGUCUAUGUCCUGACUCCCUCCUCUUAAAAAUUCCACCUCUUACACAGUCAUAUUGAAUUAGGGCCCACCCUCAUGACCCCAUUUCAAUUAUCUCGUUAAAGAUUGUAUUUCCAAAUAUAGUCACAUUUUGACUCGCUUGGGGUUCCAAAGGAGGUUAGGACUUCAACCUAAGAAUUCUAGAGAGGAGUUCCCCUUGUGGUUCAGUGGGUCAAGAGCCCGACUAGUAUCCGUGAGGAUGUGGAUUCAAUCCCUGGCCUUGCUCAGUGGGUUAAGGAUCCGGCCUUGUUGCAAGCUGUGGUAUAGGCUGCAGAUGUGGCUUGGAUCUGUCAUUGCUAUGGCUGUGGCAUAAGCCGGCACCUGCAGCUCCAAUAUGACCCCUAGCCUGGGAACUCCCCUACACCGCAGGUGUGGACAUAAACAGAAAAAAGAAAAAGAAAACAAAAGAACUUUGGAGAGACUUAAACAUUAAGCUUAAGUAGGGCCUGAGUCUGCUUUCCAUUUUAUUUGGAGUUAUGGACAUGUCCAUGAACUCAUCAGCCAAAGAUGUCUGUGGAUCAAGCCAGUGACCGGGUUCAUACCAAGAUUACCACUGGCUCAUGGCCCUCAAGUGGAUGAAGUGACUCAUUCAGCCACAAGCUUUAGUUGACUGCAGAUUUCAGGCCACCCCAGUCCCAGGUGACCCACCCACUCUUAGGCUUGGGUGGUCUGCAGUCCAACGUGUCUGUCCUGGUCAUCAGUCCUCCCAGUCCCUAACUCUCACUUCCCAAAAGCUGUCCCUCAACCCUAAAGUCCACUACAAAAGCACCUGGUCACAGUGUCCUCCCCACCUUAUACAGAGUGUUCUAGGGAAUACAGGCCAUCCCUUGGCCCAGGCUGACAGUCUCACAGCGAUCCACAAGCAUCCAGAUCCUCUGCUUUCUUGUUAUACUGUAGCUACAUGUUCUUAGCCAAGAAAGAGCUCCGCUUACCAUGCAGCUGCAUUCCAGCCAAGGAAUCCCAGUUCUUCCACGAUUAGCCUUUUUAUUUUAUUUAUUUAUUUAUUUUUGUCUUUUUGCCUUUUUGGGGGGCCGCAGCAUAUGGAGGUUCCAAGGCUAGGCAUCUAAUCAGAGCUGUAGCCACCGGCCUACACCAGAGCCACAGCAAUGUAGGAUCCAGGCUGUGUCUGCAACCUACACCACAGCUCAUGGCAACACCAGAUCCUUAACCCACUGAUUGAGGCCAGGGAUUGAACCCGCAACCUCAUGGUUCCUAGUCGGAUUCAUUAACCACUGAGCUAUGACGGGAACUCCUCAAUUAGCCUUUUUAUUGAGCAAGCAUGAAAAUGACCUUGGGGUGGGAGGGGGCAGUGGCAGGGCAAACAUUUUAGUCCCAGUUUCAGGUCCUGAGCAGUCUGGCUAUUCAGGAGGAUGCUGGGCAAGCCAACUACCCGGUACUACCUGGCAGCCUUUCCUCUGGGCCUCUGGGGAGCUGAGUUUAGGAGGAGCCCCUUCCCCUGGGAGCAGGGGAGUCAUUUGUUCCCGAUGGCUCUGGCCAGGCACCCCUGGGAGAGCUCCCAUGGUCCUUUAUCAACCUAACCUGCUGGCUGGCCCCAGAAUGUCCUGCUCUUUCACCUCUGGACCUUUGCACAUGCUGCUUCCUCUCCGUGAAGCUCCCUCUUCUCCUCAUAUGCUUCUGGGUCUUCUCUCUCAUGGAGUUGUUCGUCCCUUUCCUGGCUGCCUGGAAGUGGCACACACAUUGUUCCCUCCUCUCGAAUAGCACAGGUCCUAUCCUGGGUAACACCUUGUGCAGCACCUGUCACUCAGGAGGAGCCCACUCAUUGGAAGAAGAAAAGGAAUGAAUUGUAGGCAUACUCACUGGUCACCAGUUGCCUUUAUUGGCCAAGGCUUUGGGGUAUAUUUCCACUGCAGUAUCUCUUGCCCCUUCAAUGAAAGGCAGAGGUAAAAAUGUCCUGGGAGUUACAAAUUACUAAGUAGUAUUUCUUAUUUGGUUUUGGGAAAGUCAAAACCACCUCCUACCACAGCGUAAGAGGAGCUGCAGUAUUUUCUGCUCUUCUGCAAAUGCCUUUCCUCCAGCCCCACCUGUCCGGGUGGCCUCUAGCAUCACUACUCAGCUUACCUGUUACUCAGCUUCCACCUGCCAGGUGCCAGCACUGUGCUAAGUCCUCUGCGUGUCUAUGAUGGUUCUUUGGGGCAGCCCUUUCUAUCCAGCAUCCUUAACCUUAGUUACUCAGAGUUCAACAAGUUGCCCAAGGUCACAUAACUAGUGUUCGAGGCAUCAUGUAAAUAGGAGUGUCACAUGUCUUACUUGUUUUCACUGCUUCAGUAUCCUUGUUAAGGGGUGAAAGAGAGAGUGUGUAUGUGGGUGUUUUCCUUUCAAUAACAAUUUCCUCUAAUCAUGAAGACAUAACUGUCUUUAACCACGUGGAAGCCAGGUGUAGUACUCUGCUUGAGGCACCACGUGGGUAUCUCUGCUUUAGGUUUUGUACCCUCUACUCUCUGCUCACAAAGAUGGAAGAGGAGAAGCAAGAGUCUGAACCAGAGCUCAUCUUCUCACUCCAAGUACUCACCUCAGUGCAUUGUCUAACUAUGAGGGGCUUGCUACAUUUUUAUGUUCAGAAAUUAGUCAUUUUCUUUUUACUGCCUAUUUUUCCACUCUGUAUAGCCUUUCUCUUGCAGUUAACAUGUGAGAAGCCCCAUCCUUUGGAAAAUGCCAUAAACUAAAUUAAAUUUUCCUGGGCACCGUGGUUUCUGUCUACCCUGGCUUGCUUUUUGGCUUUUUCUUCGAAGCUGAGCGCUCUUCUAAAACCUUAGCUGAAAUCUCCAGCCAGAGUGUAUAGCCGGCUGCUGGUUCUCUUGUAGCAUCCAGGGCAUCUUUCUGCAGCUCUUCCGGGCUGGGUCACCAGGUCCCUCCAUCAACACCCACACAGCGUUCUGCGGUGGGGCAAUUCACCACCACGUUAGCAAAGCCCAUGGGUGUUCACACAACAAGGAAAAGCCGAGAAUUGCCAAAACAAGCAAGUUCUUCCUAUUCUUCUCUCUCUGAGAACCAGCCCCCUCCUUUGGCCAACACCCACCCCAAGGCAUGGUACCUGCCAAAGAAAGCUUUCUCUCUGCUCUUCAGACACAGGCCUCAUUGUGGACCCUUCUCCCCAGGGUCCCCGAGAGCACACAUUCGCAUGUGUGCUCCUUGUUUGGGUUUGUGUUUAUUUUCCCAGCCCACUGAAAACAAGGCCUUUUCCUAUUGAAAAUAAAUUUUGCAAGUGAAACCCUUUCCCCUUCGAGCCCAGCCCUUCCUCCGUGUAAACCAUCAGGUGUUUUCAGAGAAGACAGCGAAAACUUGCUCUGAUGCACUGUCCCUCCGCAGUAACGUUAUCAUCCUUCUCUUACACAUCAGGGACAAUGAAAGGUACUGUCCCUUCAACAGCUGUUAACCCUGAGAAAAGAGGCCCGCUGCAGAGUCCCAGCUUCAGCAGACCCUUUGGCCGUGUGUCUGCACCAGCCAUGGGGAUGGAGCUGCGGGCAGCCCCUGACACUGCGGAGGGAGGGACCCUUCUGAGAAGGAACUGGGCACUCCUGUGGUUUUAUAAACAGUAAAACAACACAACACUUUUUCAACAAUCUGCCGCUCUGGUAAAUAUUCUUAAUAUUUAGACUUUAUUUUAUUUUUUUCCUAUUCCCAGCCCUUUACAAACAGCAACGGAUUUCCCUAGAUGUGUCUUAGGGCACUGUGGAAACAUGUGUUUUCUCUUUACACAUGUGUCUAAACAGCCUGGGUUAUUAUUUACAUUUCUUCCCAUAAUGUACUCCAUCAAAACGUUUGCUCGGCUUUCAUCCACACAUGAGAAGCUUAAAAGGGCACUAAUGAAAGCAAGUGCCUAAAAGCCCUCUGGUGAACAUGCCACAAUUUCAGCAAAAAUUAUUUUUCCAGAAAUAGGCAGUUUGUAAAACUUGAAGUUUUAUACCUUUUAUCAAAAGUGUGCUGAAGCAGCAAUGACAACACAAGAUACUUUGUGUCCUCAAGACCUGGGGAGACUGAGCUAACCAUUUAUUGCAAUAAAUGGAAAGAAAAAAAAAAAA